UCAAUAUUUCGGUAUUUAAUCGAUGUGAGAUUUAUUCCCUAAACAGCAACAAACAAGACUGUUCUGUUCUUAGGUUGUGGUGGCAAAAUUUCCAGCAAAACUGAAUUUAAGUGCAGUCUUCAGUGCAUCAUCAGAUGCAUUUCGCCCGUUGAUGAUGAAGAUGGACUGUCUUUGGGAACUUGAAACUGCCCGCCAACACUGACCUUUCAAGAUUUGAAUCCUUACUCUUUCAGGUACUUUAAAUCUUGAAAAAUAGAAAACAAUUACGACAAAGGCAUUUUUGGAUAUGCUUAGCAAUUAGCAUCUAUUAGUGGAAUAACUAAUUGAAACACAUGCUUUAAUUUAAAUGUUACUCAACUUAGAAUUAGCAUUAACAACAUUGGAAUCAUAGUUGAAGAUCAACGUUAAUUAUAAUACAUAAACAUGAAUUUUAAUUACUUUAGAAUCGUAAAUUGGGAAUACGUACAUGAAGAUGAGUGCUAAGUCAUUUAUACUUGAGAAUAUAUUAAUAUCCAAUCAAAUGAACUGAAUUUUUCAAAUAUAUAUUGAUGUUAAUUAAAUAGUUGAGAAAAUCAUUGAUUAUCUAAAUUGGUGCAUAAAACUAAAAAUUUAUUAUCUUCUAAAAAUAGUUUAAGUAUAAUAGGAAUAAAAUCUUCAAAUGAAUGAUUCUCACUUCGUGUGACAUUUAGAGCUUAUUUGAUGUCCAUUUUUUUGCAAAUAAUGCAUUUAGGAAUAG
rnacentral:lncRNA from 1 species